ACCUGAUCCAAUAACAUAACACCAGCAACUUUAACAGCAACCAACAAUAAUCUCGAUCAACAAAAAAAACCCAGCAAUAUAACGACAACAAUAACUUCAACUGACGGCGUUAGCAGCAAAAAACUACUCCAGCAACGUCAACAUCGACGUUAACAGCGACUAAAUCCCCAGCCCGUAACUGAGGCAGCAAAACAACCUGUCAAGAACCCGAUUGUUCCGACCCGAUAUUGAUACCUCAUCCUCGUUUGAAUUUUGAAUUGUAAAUUCGUACAAGAAUGGUACGAUUCUAGCUUCCACAUCACUAACCUUAUCUCUAAUUUGAAAUCCCCAAAAGACCCCUGAAUUUCUACUCCCACAUCGUUAAAAUUAGUUUUCCAAUUUUUAGUUUCCUCUAUAAAUACUACUUCGAAUUCGCUGGGGAGGGGGUUUUUUGAGAACGACAAAGGGGCUACGAAUUCUCUUUACUCGACUAGGAUUUUGGACUUCGGUCCCUAGCCUGGAGUUAUGGGAAUUUUAGCUCAGUCUUUUAAAUAUUCUUGUUGUUUUGGAAUCAAAAAAGUUGGUGAAGUCAUCGUGAACUCAUCGUCCCGAUUCACUGCCCGGAAGAAGAUAUACAUCAAAUAUACAUGGAAUAGGCUGCUAUACACUUAUAUACGAUUUAUAUACAUUGUGACGAAGAAGCUAUACACCAUAAUGAAGUUGGAAGCAAAUAUAUGGAUUCAUAUACAUACAUAUACCGCAUAUACACGGGAAAAUGCAAGGAUAAAGAAAGUUGAUUUACAGAGGAUAUACAGCUGGAAAAAGGGUUGAAAAAAGGUCCAUUAAAAUGGGCCCAAUGCUGGACAGAAUAGAAAAUGGGCUAAAAAGGGUCCCAAUUCUCAUAUUUUGCUUUAUUUGCUUGUAUUUAUUUGAUUAUUUUCUUGUAAUUUAAUUUAAUUUUGAUGAACCCUCGGGGAUAAGUUUAAAAUUAAAUUAUUUCAUUUUAUUUUGGUCA